rnacentral:rRNA from 1 species
AGCGAACGCUGGCGGCAGGCCUAACACUUGCAAGUCGAACGAACCCUUCGGGGUUAGUGGCGGACGGGUGAGUAACACGUGGGAACGUGCCUUUAGGUUCGGAAUAACUCAGGGAAACUUGUGCUAAUACCGAAUGUGCCCUUCGGGGGAAAGAUUUAUCGCCUUUAGAGCGGCCCGCGUCUGAUUAGCUAGUUGGUGGGGUAAUGGCCCACCAAGGCUACGAUCAGUAGCUGGUCUGAGAGGAUGACCAGCCACAUUGGGACUGAGACACGGCCCAAACUCCUACGGGAGGCAGCAGUGGGGAAUCUUGCGCAAUGGGCGAAAGCCUGACGCAGCCAUGCUGCGUGAAUGAUGAAGGUCUUAGGAUUGUAAAAUUCUUUCACCGGGGACGAUAAUGACGGUACCCGGAGAAGAAGCCCCGGCUAACUUCGUGCCAGCCGCCGCGGUAAAAC